rnacentral:lncRNA from 1 species
CCGGGCUUGUGCGGACGUGUCUCGGGCGUGACCUUUGAGCAGCUGCGCCACCGGCUCAGCCUCGCGGCGGGGGAAACCCGAGCUCCCAACAAAACGGUUCCAUCUUUGGCUAGGCCUUUGGUAUUUCAAGGCGCUGCCGGUGGGGAGAGAUGCCGCGUGCCUGAGAGGCUCUGGGAGAUGUUAUGUGGUCAACAGGGACUGAGGCUCUUUAAGCCCUUAAAUCUCUAAGGGCUAAAUCUCCUUCCUGAUAUUCGCCCCCAAACCGGCACCAAAGAAGGCCCAGAGAGGUUUAACAACUUCCUCAGAAUCACACAGCUUCCAAAUGGUUGGGUUGGGUUUACAUUUAGGCGGUCUUGCUCCAGAGCCAGUGCUCCUAACCUUUGCAAGCCACGAACCUCAAGAAAGUGGAGAAGGAAACGCUGGGAAAUCUGGAAGUCAGACAUGAGAGCUAAUGCUGGCAGCUGUUGGGAUGUCCUCUUCCAGGAAUGGUGAUGAGUUUCCCUGGAUCCAGCCCUGGCUUGGCUGAGGUUUUUCUCACUGUAAGAAGAGGACAAUAGCCUAUGAUCUACAGUGCCCAUUCCAACUCAGAGAAUCUUUACAUCUGGAGAUCUAUAGCAGGGCUAUCCCUAGUGACAUGCGUGAAGAAGCUUGGAAAUGGUGCUGGGUAGGAGCUGAGUGUGCAGAAUGUGGAAAGGCAUUCUAAACCAAAGGAAGAACACGAGUAAAGAUGAUGAAGCAGGGAUAAGGCUAAAAUGAAAUUUGUGAUCUGAUCCACAUACAAGCACAGUGUAGUACAGCUGGAAUAUAGAGAAGAGCUUGAAGACUUAUGAGCAACUAUCCCGGUACUCUUGGAGGCUCUGCAACCACAGUUUGAGAAACUCCGCGUUCAAAGUUAAAAACUGUCACCUGAAUAGUUAAUAACAUCAAAGAUUGUGAAAGCAAGUAUAAAUAACACAGAGAUUAAAAUAAUGAGGCAGGAUCAGAAAGUCCUUGGAACAGGAGAAAGGGUUGGAAAACAAAGAUCACUUUUCUCUGGCCAAAUGGAAUCACCCAACAAAGUACCUUCCUGAUGGGCCAGCUAUUUCAGAUGAUGAAGGUUUAAGAAGCAGCAUCAUCAGCGAACUGUGUUUUGAAGAUUUGAGGGAAGGGCUGACCUCAGGAUUUUAUACUAGUUGCUGACCUCCAUAACAGCAGACAAAAUUGGAAGCAAGAGUGAUUUUGGAGGAGUCACACUUAGAUGUUUCCCUUACCUAUUUCUGUUCUGGAAAUUUAAAAAUCUUACUUCUCGUGACAGUCCUACAUGAAAAAUUAAAAAUCACAAGGAUUCAUGGAUGGAAAACUGAGACUCAGAGAAUGAUCACAUUCACAUCGUAAUAAAUCAGCAAUAGAGUGAGUGAUUGUUCCUUGGUAAGAAAUCAACUCUAAACUCAGUUGGAAACCUUUGCCAAUAUUACUUAACACAUGACAAUCUGGUGUGACUCAUUUUUCUUGACAUUAUGCAAAUAAAGGAAACAAGACUGAGUGGCCUUCUGUCCGGAGAGCAGGAAAUGAA